rnacentral:rRNA from 1 species
UACAGAGGUCUCAAGCGUUGUCCGGAUUUAUUGGGCGUAAAGCGCUCGCAGGUGGUUCGUUGCGUCGUGCGUGAAAGACCCCGGCUCAACUGGGGAGUGUCGUGCGAUACGGGCGAACUGGAGGCCAGUAGGGGGAUGCGGAAUUCCGGGUGUAGUGGUGGAAUGCGUAGAGAUCCGGAGGAACACCAGCGGCGAAGGCGGCAUCCUGGACUGGUCCUGACACUCAGGAGCGAAAGCGUGGGGAGCGAGUCCGG